rnacentral:rRNA from 1 species
AGUCGCUGGGAGCACUCGCUAAACCCGGAGGCGCAGUGAAAGCGGGGCGCGGUCCUUAGUGGGCCGCCGUUGGGAGGAUGUCGUGCGGAGAUCCCGCGCGGCCGCACUCCCGGGGCGCCUCGGCUCCGGCCGCAGGCGCACCCCGAGCGCACACGUUGGGACCCGAAAGAUGGUGAACUAUGCCUGGUCAGGACGAAGUCAGGGGAAACCCUGAUGGAGGUCCGCAGCGAUUCUGACGUGCAAAUCGAUCGUCAGAGCUGGGUAUAGGGGCGAAAGACUAAUCGAACCAUCUAGUAGCUGGUUCCCUCCGAAGUUUCCCUCAGGAUAGCUGGCGCCCAUUUGGAAUGGGACGAGUCUCAUCCGGUAAAGCGAAUGAUUAGAGGCCUUGGGGCCGAAACGACCUCAACCUAUUCUCAAACUUUAAAUGGGUGAGAUCUCCGGCUUGCUCGACUGAAGCCGCGAGAGUACCGGAUCAGGGUGCCAAGUGGGCCAUUUUUGGUAAGCAGAACUGGCGCUGUGGGAUGAA